UGCUUAGGAUCAGUGUUUGUUAGCAGGAAAGACUAAAAGUCUCAUCUCCUUACUCCUAACCCAGUACAGUCUGCCUUUCCACACCGGUCAAAUACAAGUUUCCUAUAAAACAUCCUUUUGAGAAAUAGCAACUGAGUUAGGUAAAGAAACUGAAACAGAUUUUUUUUUUUUGCCUUGAAGAUUUUUAUAGCUUUUGGUGGAAUCACUACCCAGAAGUAACAUUAGGAGGAAAAUAGCUUAGCUAUGACAAUUUUAGUGAAAUAUCAGUGUUCCUUUAUUAAAUAUGUUCUUAAUUUUUAAAGUCAAUACUGUCGGGUGGUGCCCAUGGCUCGAGUAGGGCACUGGCCCCAUAUGCCGAGGGUGGUGGGUUCAAGCUCAGCCCCAGCCAAAAAGUACAACAACAAAAAAAUUGAUUUAAAGUCAGUACUGUCAUUUUAAGUGUUUUGUGAACACCAAAGAAGAUUCAAGCUGUUAAAUUUCUUGGGAAGCAAAUAUUUAAAUUCAGUUAGUGAGAAAUUAAGUGUCCAAAAGCCCUGAUUAUAUUAGAGUUAAGUGGUUCCUCAUUCCCCCUGCUUGUUCUGAGGGGUCAAAAGGUCCUUGCCCAUUCUCCUAGGAAGUAUUGUAUCCAUUGUAUAUAGCUUUCUUUUGUAAAAUAAUGCUAGCGCUACCAGGCAGGCCAGAUUGCAUAACCCUAUUCUUUUUUUUCUAACCUAGCUAUGUCUGCAAAGUUGUCUGCAUCUUCCUACUAACACACAAUAAGUAAGAUUGUGUCCAUAUAAGAGCAGUGCUUCUCAAAGUAAGAACCUGUGACCAGCGGCCUCAGCAUCCGUGUGAAUUUGUUUGAAAUGCAGAUUUUCAGUCCCCACCCCAAGCUUCUCUGAAGGGAAUCUCUUGAGAGGUAUUGUGUUGUCAAACCAGAGGUAAUCUUUGGCCUAGAGCAAAAAUAGGAACCACUGGAGGAAGAGCCUCUAAGGAAGAGCCAUCCAGAAAUUUCUAACAAUUUUCCAGAAGGAUUGUUACUCUUCAAAGCCAAUGCUGAGGAAGAAGGACUCCGGCCCUUUGAAGUGUGUUGUCAGUGAGGAAUGUCAACACCAAAGUCUCCUUACAUGUCACUUUUGAUGCCAUCUUCAUGGAAACUGCAAAAGUUGUGAAUGUGUGUAUGUAUGUAUUACAUCGUCAAUUUUUACUAUUUAGCUUCUGAAGUAGCUGUCCAUUUAGUGGCUUUAUACCAGUAUUGUUCUUUGUUAGGUAUAAGAGAGCACUGAAAUGAACUGUACCUACUGGGCCCCUGGAGGAAUCUGUGUGCAAAAAUGAAUGCUGUAAUUUGUGGAGUUACAUGAAGAUGAGAUCCUACAUAGUUAUCUCUCUACAUGUACCUGUUCAUACUUACAGAGCAGGUGCAGAUGGAAAUCUCUUUAGAAGGUAGUAACUACAAAAUAAUAGAGUAUAAAUUCUCUAUGGUUAGUUUGACAUUUGUAUUUCUUAGCUCACAGCAACCUCAAACUCCUGGGUUCAAGUGAUCCUCUUGCCUCAGCUUCCCAAGUAGCUGGGACAACAGGUGCCCAGCACAAUGUCUGGCUAAUUUUUUUUUUCUUUUUUUAGUAGAGAUGGGAGUCUCACUGUUGCUUAGGCUAGUCUUGAACUCCUGAGCUAAAGCAGUCUACCAUCCUCAGCCUCCCAGAGUGCUGAGAUUAUCAGGCAUGAGCCACCAUGCCUGGCCACUGAAAGACUUCUUUAGGAGAGUUAGAAAUUAAUGCUGAGGCAAUGAAAACAUAGUAUCAAAAUAAAUAUAUGCUUAAUGAAACAUGUUUUUAAAAAGUCUUACAAAUGCAUAAGGAAAUGGCUUAAAAAAUCAUAGAGAUACCGGCAAAAUUAAUAAACAGGCCUUUUACAAACAAAUAUUUAAAAGGGGAUUAUAUAUGUACAUACACACACACAUAUAAAUUUGUUGAUUUCAUUGAUUUUUUUUCCAGAGGGCAAAUUGGAUCUACAUAAAGAGGCCACCACAUGCCUAACAGAAUGAUGAAACUGAAACACUCAGGAAAUGUUAAUUAUUGUUCAGGCUGGGAGCAGCCAAACUCAGCACUUGUGUGUGCCAAAAAUUAAAAAGAUUGUAAUGAGAGGGAUCACAGGAGAUCUAAAGAAAUAGAUUCUAGAUUCUACACUUCAGGACUGUGCAUUAUGACAGUUCAUCUCUACUUGAUUUACAGAUUGAGCACAUUGUCAGUCAGCUGCAUUCCAUCAAGGGGUUGUCUACCUGUAGACACAAUGAUUGGCGAUACUUAGGAAACAUAUUAUGGAAAAUGGAUCUUGGCAUUCUUCAUAAAUUAUUCAAAAAUUAAC